ACCAUACUGACAUGUCCAUGAUUCACUGCUGUGCAUGUAAAUCAUUUGAUAUAUGUUUAAAGCCUCACCUUCUCUCCACGCUGCCCCGAAAGAUUCGUCUUUGCCCUCCUGUGCUGAGGUAUCUAAAGACACUGAUGCACUGACUCUUGAAUGAAUGAGAUGCCAUUAAUAGCCACACCUCUGAGGUAGGCUGGCUUUCCUCACUUCAAAGAAAAAGGAAGAGCAUAAGAAAGUUUCCCAUCAGUCUCUGAAAUGUUUUCAAAAAGAAAUAAUGCGCUUAAUUUAAAAGUUUAUUAGUUGUAACGUGCAGAUUACAGACACACACAUAUAGCUUCAUACAUCCCAACACUCACUCACACACAGCUGUGACAAAGACAUCAGAUAGUGUCUUCACUUGUCUGCAUUUACUAUGAGGAAAUGCAAGCUUAAAAUCUUGUACUGUUACGCCACCUUGUGGCAAAUACAAUGCUCUGAAUCCUUUUGCUUGAACACGCACACACAGUCAUUCAGUGAAUUCAACAAAUGCACACAGCAAUGCAAUAUUACAUUUUGUGGCUAAUUUUUUUAACAGUACUGUACAUGUGCUGGCUACAUUCAUUUUUUAAUUAUAAAUUUACACCAGGUGCAAAGAAAACCUGCUUAUUCCUCAAAGAAACGUGUUCGCAGGUGGUGACGUCACACUCAGAUGGUUAUAAAGGAAUGCUUCACAAAAUGCAUAAUGACCAUUUGUUUAUCAAUUGAUCUUUCACUAAGCCCCGCCUCUUUGUGAUGGUCCAACAAGCUGUCGGAGUAAGCAUGGAGCCCACACUGUAACUAACUGCACUCCCUCCACCCCAGCUCCUCCUUUUCAUGCUGUGUCUGACUUAUCAAUGUCAUUUCUGUUUGUCACUGAUGCUGC